UCGUACUCAUAACCGCAUCAGG
rnacentral:siRNA from 1 species